rnacentral:tRNA from 1 species
CGAUCCAUAGCCGAAUCGGUUAAGGCAUUGUUGAUUAAAGUCGAAGAUGUGGGUUCGAGUCCCGCUGGAUCAG